CGCGUAGGCGGGAUGGCAAGUCGGUCGUGAAAUCCUUCGGCUCAACCGAAGAACGUCGAUCGAUACUGCUGUUCUUGAGGGUUGCAGAGGAGACUGGAAUUCCCGGUGUAGCGGUGAAAUGUGUAGAGAUCGGGAGGAACACCGGUGGCGAAGGCGGGUCUCUGGGCAACUCCUGACGCUGAGGCGCGAAAGCGUGGGGAGCAAACGGGAUUAGAUACCCCGGUAGUCCACGCUGUAAACGAUGACGACUAGGUGUGGGGGGGUUCAGUCCUUCCGUGCCGCAGCUAACGCAUUAAGUCGUCCGCCUGGGGAGUACGGCCGCAAGGUUGAA
rnacentral:rRNA from 1 species